CUACGGGUUGCUGCAGUGAGGAAUAUUGCACAACGGGGGGAACCCUGAUGCAGCAACGCCGCGUGGAGGAUGACGCAUUUCGGUGUGUAAACUCCUUUUAUAUGUCAAGAAAAUGACGGUAGCAUAUGAAUAAGCACCGGCUAACUCCGUGCCAGCAGCCGCGGUAAUACGGAGGGUGCAAGCGUUACUCGGAAUCACUGGGCGUAAAGGACGCGUAGGCGGGUUGGAAAGUCAGGUGUGAAAUCCUACAGCUUAACUGUAGAACUGCACUUGAAACUUCUAAUCUAGAGUAUGGGAGGGGGAGAUGGAAUUAGUGGUGUAGGGGUAAAAUCCGUAGAUAUCACUAGGAGUACCUAAAGCGAAGGCGAUCUCCUGGAACAUUACUGACGCUAAGGCGUGAAAGCGUGGGUAGCAAACAGGAUUAGAUACCCGUGUAGUC
rnacentral:rRNA from 1 species